AUUUUCAUAAAGAUAAUGUUCAAGUAUUAAUUCGUAUCAAGAAAACAAGAAAUAGAUUUAUUGAAAGAUUACUAAUGGACACAUCCAGGAUCUUUUUUAUGCACUCCCUCUACCAAAAACCUUAGAAGAGUUCAGAGAAUGGAUCCGUUCUGCGAUUAUGACCAUUGAAAGGAUGGCGCUACGAAAUCUGUGUAACGAGUUCAACUAUCGCUUGAACGUGUGUCAUGUGACUAAAACAAUAAAACUUGGACACAUCCAGGAUCUUUUUUAUGCACUCCCUCUACCAAAAACCUUAGAAGAGUUCAGAGAAUGGAUCCGUUCUGCGAUUAUGACCAUUGAAAGGAUGGCGCUACGAAAUCUGUGUAACGAGUUCAACUAUCGCUUGAACGUGUGUCAUGUGACUAAAACAAUAAAACUUGGGUUAUUUUUGGACGGAUCUCGUAAUUUUGAACCUCAGUCAGACGACGAGGCCGACACCUGAGUUGGCACCCCCAUCUUCACACCGCACCACGUCAACGAGAGGACGUUUGACCCGGAAGAGUUUAACGUGUGCCAGAUCCUCUUACAUGACGGUUCAUCGGUAGAAUCGGGUCACGAACCUGGAACUUCGAAGCCGAGACCUUACCACCAGGUUAC